AAAUUGAAGAGUUUGAUCAUGGCUCAGAUUGAACGCUGGCGGCAGGCCUAACACAUGCAAGUCGAACGGUAACAGGAAGCAGCUUGCUGCUUUGCUGACGAGUGGCGGACGGGUGAGUAAUGUCUGGGAAACUUCUGGGAAACU
rnacentral:rRNA from 1 species